UGGCCGCAUGUUGUGUGUGGAACUGUUUCCUCGCGUUCCCUCGGUUUCUCUCUUUGUAGAAAGUGCUAAGUUUUGUACCUCAAAGCAUACUAGGUCAUGUCUCUAUACUAUAUUCCUAAAGGUCCACAGCUACCCUAAUCUACCCUGUUACCUAAGAUCCACAGAGAGUCUGGAACCUUGUUGUGAAAAGGGUCCUUAUUUUUAUAUAAUGCUAUGAAGAGGAUGCAGGUGAGCUCCGAUGAAUCUUCUAGACUUUGGCACAUACUGUUUCUAUGACCCGGAGGUCCACAGAAUCCCGCUCCCUGGGAAGCAUCCAUCCUGUAGGGCUGAGAGUCCAGAACUCACAGCCACUUUCCCUCCCUCCACACUGACUCCUUGACUCCCCUCCUCCACAAGAAGAAAAAAAAAAUCCCAUUUCUGGAAUAGAAGAGCUAUGCAGCCAUUAGAGUUUUUAAUUUGAAUUAUUUAUAGUCAGAAUAGACAUGAAUAGAAUGAGAAGCUAGGCCACCUCGUCUUGUCCCCAUCCCCCAUGAUCAUGUAAAUGUCACAGUUGCUUAACUUCAUGCCAUCUGCACUUGGACUAACUCACUCAGGGGACUGUUCUCAACUAUGUGACCUUGCCACAGUAGGUUUGGAGGAAGGGGGUCAGGUGUACCAGGUGUACUAACUAAACCUUCUCUUAGGAUCCUAUGCUCGCAGAAGCAUACCGUCAUGUUAACAUAAAUCGUUUAUAUUUAAUACUGGUUCUAAUCUAAAAUACCACAAAGAAUGAUUGGUUCCGUUAGAUGUGGGAGAACAUGCUUUUAAUUCCCGGCACUUGGCAAACUGAGGCAGGAGCAUUGAAGUCCAACAUCUGCCUGGACUGUGGAGCAAGUUCAAGGGCAGCCUGAGUCCCAUGGUGAAGUUUCAGGCAAGCCUGGACUACAUACAGAGUUCUGGGCUAGCAUGAGCUAACAUAGUGGGACUCCUUCCUACUAAAAGAAAAAAAGAAUCAGUUUUUUUCCCCCAGUUGCACGAAACAGAUC
rnacentral:lncRNA from 1 species